rnacentral:rRNA from 1 species
GAAGCGGUAACAGCUCAAAUUUGAAAUCUGGCUCUUGCGGAGUCCGAGUUGUAAUUUGUAGAAGAUGCUUUGGGUUGUGGGUUCGGCCUAAGUUCCUUGGAACAGGACGUCAUAGAGGGUGAGAAUCCCGUAUGUGGCCGAGGCCCGCGCCUAUGUAAAGCUCUUUCAACGAGUCGAGUUGUUUGGGAAUGCAGCUCAAAAUGGGUGGUAAAUUUCAUCUAAAGCUAAAUAUGGGCCAGAGACCGAUAGCGCACAAGUAGAGUGAUCGAAAGAUGAAAAGCACUUUGGAAAGAGAGUUAAACAGUACGUGAAAUUGUUGAAAGGGAAGCGCUUGCAACCAGACUUGGGCGCUGCCGAUCACCUUGAGUUUUCUCGAGUGCACUCGACAGCGCACAGGCCAGCAUCGGUUCGGGUGGCUGGAUAAAGGCCGUAGGAAUGUGGCUCUCUUCGGGGAGUGUUAUAGCCUACGGUGCCAUGCAGCCCAGCCGGACCGAGGACCGCGCCUUCGGGCUAGGAUGCUGGCGUAAUGGUUGUAAGCGACCCGUCUUGAAACACGGACCAAGGAGUCUAACAUCUAUGCGAGUGUUUGGGUGGUAAACCCAUACGCGGAAUGAAAGUGAACGUAGGUGAGAACCCCUUUGGGGCGCAUCAUCGACCGAUCCUGAUGUCUUCGGAUGGAUUUGAGUAAGAGCAUAGCUGUUGGGACCCGAAAGAUGGUGAACUAUGCCUGAAUAGGGUGAAGCCAGAGGAAACUCUGGUGGAGGCUCGCAGCGGUUCUGACGUGCAAAUCGAUCGUCAAAUUUGGGCAUAGGGGCGAAAGACUAAUCGAACCAUCUAGUAGCUGGUUCCUGCCGAAUUC